GGACUCUGCGGGAACGGGUAGAUUGCAGAACGCCAUCUUUAAACCCCACAAGAGGCCAGCUACAGUUGUAUACCGGGAUGAAAAACCCGAUCCAUACCGCGGAAUAUAAGUUCAGAUCGUGGAGCUGGCAUGGUUCCCCCACCUUUAAAUAACCAAUGAGGAAGUGUACGAUGGGACUGUAAGAAGAUGGUCACAGGACACCGCGGGAGCCUUAAGCUGUUGUUGUCAUAGACAGACAAUAACAAUAGACGGAAAGACAACAACAACGGACUAGCUGGCUAACUCGCUAGCUAGCUUCUUGCCAAAGCGCUGCGCUGUUUUCAGAUGCUAGCUUGAAGGCUAAAUAACGCGAAUCCUUCAUCAGAAAAUCUCUUCGGCUGAGCUGAAAUCUCACCACACGCGGGUUAAGGCUGGCAGUGGACACCCAGCAUCUUUCAUCCGGACCGUCUGUCAUUUCUGUGCCACUUUUAAGACCCAAUUUAGCACCAAAGAUUGUGUAGUGGCAUUAGUUAGCUAACAGCUAAGUCCCGACUUCUCCCCCUCCCCAGCGGCCCGGCCGGAGAUGCGUGGAAGAUGUCGGUGUCGGGGCUGAAGGCCGAACUGAAGUUUUUGGAAUCCAUUUUUGAUCCAAACCACGAACGCUUCAGGAUCAUCGACUGGAAACCUGACGAGCUGAGCUGCCAGUUUAAUGUAACUGGAGAAAAGCUGUUAAUUAUCCACUGUAACAUAACGGAAUCGUAUCCAUCUACGCCGCCAUUAUGGUUUGUGGACUCUGAUGACCCGAGCUUGGCGCAAGUUUUGGAGAGGCUGGAUGAUGUGAGAAAAGGAAGCACCCUGCUUUUGCAGCAGUUGAAGAAACUCAUUUGUGACCUUUGCCGGCUGUACAACCUUCCCCAACAUCCAGAUGUGGAGAUGCUGGACCAACCUCUGCCCGCAGGCCCCGUGGGACAAGACCGAAAGCAUGGGACAGAGGAGGUCACAUCUGAGGAAGAGGAAGAGGAGGAGAUGGGAGAGGACAUCGAGGAUCUGGACCACUAUGAAAUGAAAGAAGAAGAGCCUGUAGAUGGGAAGAAAUCCGAGGAUGAUGGCAUCGAGAAGGAGAAUCUGGCCAUCCUGGAGAAGAUCCGGAAGAACCAGAGGCAGGACCACCUGAAUGGGGCUGUGUCUGGUUCAGUGCAAGCUUCUGACCGCCUGAUGAAGGAGCUUAGAGAGAUCUACAGGUCUCAGAGUUACAAGACAGGCAUCUAUUCAGUGGAGCUGGUUAAUGACAGCCUGUAUGAAUGGCAUGUCAAACUAAGGACGGUGGAUCCAGAUAGCCCCUUACACAGUGAUUUACAAGUUCUAAAGGAAAAGGAAGGAAUGGACUACAUUUUACUAAACUUCUCGUAUAAAGAUAAUUUCCCCUUUGAUCCCCCGUUUGUCCGGGUGGUUUCGCCUGUGCUUUCUGGAGGGUAUGUUCUCGGAGGAGGUGCCCUGUGCAUGGAGCUUCUCACCAAACAGGGUUGGAGCAGUGCCUAUUCCAUUGAGUCUGUCAUCAUGCAGAUCAAUGCCACUUUAGUCAAAGGAAAAGCCAGAGUGCAGUUCGGAGCCAAUAAAGUAAGUGAGGAAGCACUCAAGGUUUCACUUCAAGAUCAGAAAAUGUUUUUUGAGAAUGUUGGCCUCACAUAUUCUGACUGUUGUGGUCUGGGCCUAGUUGUCUGACUCUUAGCAGUGGGCUGUUUGAGUCUUCUACUGCAGUAAUACCCCUUUUCCACCGAGGCAGUUUCAAGGCCGGUUCAGAGACGGUGCUCAGUAGAGAACCAGUUUAUUGUGUUUCGACUGCAAGAGAACCGGCUCCCGGUCAGGAAAACAGGUUCCAGAGCAGCACCAAGUCUUUGCUGGUCUAGAACCGCACACCGCUUACGUCAGGGGCGAGGGGUGAAGUCGCCGUCCAUGUAAAGCAUGAUGAGUAGCACAGAAGUAUUGGUUAAGUUGGAUAAGUUCUCUUUGAGACCUCAUGUGGUUAUGAAAAGCCAGGAGGAACACCAGCAAGCACACUACGUUGUCCGCCAUCGUUGUUAUUGUGAGGGAAAGUUUGCACUAGCGCUGCUGGGAAAAGCGGUCACGUAGAAGUGACGUCAUGACAUGGCUCUUCCACGGGCUUGAGCAGGUGGAAAAACAAACUGGUGCCGAGUUGGUUCGCAAGUUGAAACAGCUCCGAACCAGCAUGAGCACCAGGCUGGGAUUACAACCAGGUUUGCGCUUGUCGUAAAGGUGAGAUGCAGUGUGUCACAGCUGGGUUAGGCAGAGUACGUUCUGAUCUCUUUGUUCAGCACUUUGCAGUUGUUGUCGUGUGUACUUAUUAUGUCCUCUUAAUAACAACUUAUAAAACCCUCAGACGAGCCUGCAGCCUGUAACAAGAUUAGAUUAAUACCAUGGAGGCAUAGAUAUUCCUCUCACAAACUGAGUCUCAUGAAUGCAAAUCCCAUUUUGGCGCAUCAUGCAGAUUGAAAUGUGUUGAAAUGUUCCACAUUGUUUGUUUGUUUUUUUGCCUUCAAAUGUUAUCAGUUGUGUUUGGAGUUGUCAUAAAAUGUCUGUUUGUCUUACCCCUCAUAAUGAAUGCAAUAUCUCAUGAACACUACUUCGCACAACAUCACUUUGGAAUUUAUGAUGAAUUUAAAGACUUUGGUUGUCAAAGCAGAGGUCACUGUCUCUUGGAAAAUCCUUGAGGGGAUUUAAUGACACGUGGUGUAUAGUUGUUAUUCAUCAGUCUGAGGCAAUGGGGCCAUCUGAGAUCAAUUAGUGGACAGUCUGCCCUCUUGUACCUAUCUGAGAGACUUCAUCUUUCCUAGUAAACAAUUUUCGUGUGUUCCUUUGUAAUGAAGGCCUGCUUAUGCUUCUUGUGCAACAACAUUCUUGUGCAGUUAUGCUUCUGCUUUGUGGAUGGAUGUUUACUGCAACAUGCCUGAUUUUUCGGAGGCAUACUUUCACAGAGCAGUAGUGUGACUUUGGCUUGUAUCAAAGCUUUGAUUAGACCCCCAUUGUAUAAUGACUGAGCAUGCAGAGUAAUUUUCAUCAGGAAGUAAUCUGUAUAUUUUUGUCAACCAGUGUCAUGAACUUGGACAGCAGAGAUGGAAGAGAUGAUCAAGAGGCUGUUUUUUAAAGGAGCAUGCUCAGAAAGUACAUCUGAUUUAUUUGCAGAGGGAAAGAAAAACACUGUAUGCUCUGAAUGUUUUAUUUUAUUUUUUUAUUUAACCUUUAUUUAACCAGGUUGGUCCCAUUGAGAUCAAAUAUUUUUUUUCCAAGGGAGACCUGGCCAAGACUGCCAGCAGCAAAAAAAACCACAGGUUACAGACAUAGACACACAGAGAACCGAAGUACACUUUACAAGCACAACGUUUGUCGCAGAAAGAGCUGUUACCUAGGAGGCAGUUGUAACAAGAUACACUAAAAACAACAACAUUCUAAAGAUUCAGCUUCAAGGUCUUUCAUUUCAUAUUUAAAACAUUCAGUGACACCAGCUCCUUGAGUUUCAAGCCAUUUUGCAAUAAAUUCCAGGCUGAUGUGAAUUGGCUCACACACGUUAGAGAAGCUUGAGUUCCUGCUGUGACAAUCAGAAUUAUUAAAGGGUCACUCUCAAUCUUUAUGGGGAAAAAGAAUUGCUAAAGCAGAGUAGUUUUGUUGUUCAUUCAGUUUUCUAUUCAACACAGGAUGUGGUCAGGCGGCACGUUGAGGGUAGGUUAUUUCACUGCGCUGAGCCCAAUGCACAACAGCUUAAUGUACCUAUAUAAACAGAAAAAAAUGACCUGACGUGGUCUGUAGUGUCAUGGCCUGUAGCGGGGGUGAGAAACAGGCCAUAAUGUGGCCUGUAGUGUGGAUUAAGAUAGAAGUUUUUUUAUUUCAGAUGCAUUAUUUAAAAGUAAACUACUUCUACAGGCAGAGAUUCUGUUUUAUUUGAUUGUUUCAUUCUCAGCUGACUUUUACUCCGUGAAACACCUUUGUGUGUGAACUGAAUUCUUCAGCAAGGAAAAAAAGGUAAAGAGGAAGGAUGUGCCUUGAAUAUUAAGUUUAGAAUAGUGUCUUAAGUCUCCCAGCAUGCAUGGCAAAUGAGUCCUACCUAGCAUAGCAUGAGUCAUUUAGAUGUAAAUUUGAAGUCUGACAUUUGGGUUACCAAAGCCAUAGUUUCAAUUCUGGGAAAUGGGCUGUUAUGAAACCACUUCACUCUUACCAAAUAACACAGGCCGAGUCUGAGUCUUGGGUGGUUUGGUGGUUUCGCAGUCAUGGAACGACAGGUGCAAAAGCAAAUCGGAUGUGAAUGAUGACAAGUGUGUGUGGAAAAACUCUGAGUGGUCAAACAAGGAGAUAACGGGUGCUCAUCCUGCAGCACACACAGUUUUGUUCUUGAAAUUGGAGAUGGAGAGAUAAGCUUCUUUUAUUUAUUUUUUUGCUUGUUGAAAAGAGCUGUCAUUGUUGUUUUGUAUUCUGUGCUGUCCUCAUAUUUCCAAUGCAGACUCUUAAGGUUGAUUUCCACUUUCUUCUUCAAUGCAGAACCAGUACAAUCUCGCCAGAGCACAGCAGUCCUACAAAUCCCUGGUUCAGAUCCAUGAAAAGAACGGCUGGUACACACCCCCAAAGGAGGACGGCUAAACAGACUCUUGCCUUUCCUGCACUGGGACCACAUGUCUUUGAUUCUUUCUUCCUUGAGACCAAUAUAAUUUUUUUAAAUCCUGCAAACCAUUUUGUUCUCUUCAAGAGAGUUUGAACUCCAAAGCAAAUUUGUCUUUCAGCGACCACCCAGAAACAAGCUCAUAAACACACACCCCCACCUGACAUUCUCAUCAGCUACUCGCAAGGGUGUUGUCUCUUCAGAUAUUUAUCUCUCUGUACAUCUUUUGUCUUCUACGAUCUAAGUUUUCAUAGCAAAAAUCAUCCUUAUUCUAGGGCACAGGUGGACUUCAUAUUGCGUAAAGUCACCCUUCUGGUUUUGGCGUUGAGCAUGCCGAGGUUACCUGCUGGCUGUAAAUUGAAAGGUGUGGCAUGGCUUUAUCCAGCAGUGUGAUGCUGCAGUCGCUGGACUCUGCCUCCCUGGCCACAAACUGGAUCUGAGAAUGGCAUGUGACAUUCCCUGAUGGGAUGCGAUGAUGGCUGGGAAGAUAUUUAAAUGUGGGCAGUGGGAAAAACCGCUGCCUGUUCUUUCCAUGGACAGCCUCUGUAAUAUUGUGCUCAUGUAUUAUCUUUGAAAAUGCCAAGAUCCCUCCUCUGGAAUAAUGUGCUUCUGAGGCUUGCUCGCUUCCAAACCUCUUAUCUUUUAAAGCUUGAAGCUCUGAGGUUGUAGGGGGGUUGAAUCAAAGGACUUUUCCAGCCUGGGUUGGACAGGCCAAAUGAAGAACAACAUCCUGCUGUCAUCAUCAGAACCAGCAAUGGGACUUCUCCCUGCAGGAUGGGUUCAGUGUGUGGCUAGAAACAAGAGCAGGCAAAGCAGGGGCGUGUUUGGAUAUGAUCACACUGUAAUGUAGUUGAUUUUAACUCCAUGUGUAAACAUGUAAAUUUGUAUUUCUGCAAAAGGAUUUAAUUGUUUAUAAUGUAACAUUGUCUGGGUCUUUGGCUUAGCAGAGACUGUAUUACUAUAUACCCUUGACUAUUAACAGCAGGGGAACUGCAACUUCUCAAGACCCAUUUAGAAUAAGAAAAAGUUGCUUCAUGGAUACUCUUGCAGACGGAAACAAAAGUACGCCAUGUUCUUAUGUAAGCUUAAUGACUACUGCGGUUUUGUUUUUGUUUUGUUUUUAUUUCAAAUAUUGAUUUGUAAUCCUCAUGUUAUUGGCAACAUUUACAAAACCAUUCCCCUCAUUUUUAAUGGCACCUCUUAACUACAAUGGCCGUAACAAUAAUGGCACAGAUACAGGUGUUUUCUGGCAUUCCAGACGUUUGGCUUUUCAUAUCGAAUCACUGAAACCGGAUGAACCUCAGUAAGGCUAUGCAGUGAAGACACAGUCUUGUGGAGUUUUGUCGUACUGAAGAAAAUAAGUCUUAACAGCUUAAAAGUGUAGUCACCUGCUUAGUUCUUGUAGCUGGUUCACAUCCUGAGCACUUUGCCAACCUGGCAGUCAUAACCAACAGUCUGGGAGGGAAAAAAGUGACCUUUGCCUUCUGACUUUCUUUGACCUCACGGCUGGUUUUUUAAAAUGCAGCCAGAGUUUCAAAUUCACAGCAAUAGUCUCGACCGUAUACCUUCUGGCUUCACACCUGGGGAGAUCGACUGGAGUCUAUUCCAUUUCCAGAAUAUUUCUGUCGGUUUGAUAAAUAUUUGUUCAGAUUUGCCACAGGAAAGGACCCAGCUCUUCCCAUGAUCACCUCUCUGGUUACUAUUCAUAACCACUCUCAGCACUGCUGCCCCUCUCAGCGUGCUGGGUCUUUGAUGUAAUGUGAAUAAUAUGCAGAAAACUGUGUGGAUCAUUCCAAUUAAUGCAGUUACACGUUUGUUGUGGGUGUUCUAUUGUGUGGUUACUUGCAUUGUUUUAAGUAUAUUGUCCUGAAAAACCAGCAUAGAAAGCUUAGUUAUGCUAAUUCAUACAGGCAUUCCUCAAUUUUGAGUUGAUUUUAAGUAUAUUUUCUCAGUGAUACUAACCUCAGCCACCAAUAUCUUCAGAACAGGUAGAGAUGGGUAUAAAACAUCAGCUUCUUCUGAACUUUGUUUGGACUAGCUGGAUGUGUAUAACAGGUUUCACCCUGCUUUCAUGUUUCACCACGAGCAAAAUCUCAACAUGACUUUUGGUCUCUGGCAUGGUUGUUAGUUGUUGUGAUGCCAUUGGUAAUUUACUAAUCACUUCAUUCCGGUCACAUUGUCGAGCCCACCCCUGCAUUCUCUGGAGAAGCAAACUCAGGAAUUCAUACUGCACACUUUGCAAAAGAUUGCUUUAGAAUAUUGUCAUGAAAUGCAAGAUUGGACAAGUCAAUAUUUUGUUGGGCCAUUUUAAAAAUGAUGCCUCAGUCUUAAGGAAGAGGCAUUGCAGUGAGGUUUGCUGUCAAAUUGUCACACUUGAGUUUUUUGAGGUUGAUAAAUAAUUACCAAGCAUAAAUACCUGGAAUAAUCCGAUGAUUAUCCUGCGCUUUACAAAGUGUUCAGACCACAUUCUACCCUGUUUCUUUGAUAUUGCUGUAUUUUGCAUGUCAAUAUAUCAAUGGGUGUUUUUCCCCAAGCUACUGAAGGUAAAGAGUGGUUGGGUGGGGUGGUAAAAUGACUAGAUCUAUCAAAUUUUAAUAAUUUGCUUACCUAAUAUCCUACAUCAGUGCACAGGAAAACUUCUCCCUGUGUUCUAAUGAACCAGGUCAGGUAAUAUACGAGACACGUGGACUAGCAGGACAUCCUACCUGCUUAGAGUCCCUCCAAAAGAUGCCAGGAUUCCCAUGUUGAGUAGCAUUGCAGAUUUGUGUGCCAUUAGACCAAUUGUAAGCCUACAUUUAUAACCUGACCUUUGGGAUAAUGGUGUAUUUAAGUCUGUUGUGCACUGAAUAACAGCGUCUCUUACACCGUCACAUGUCAUCUGACUAACUUCUCUGCUUUGGUGAGUCACACAUUGGUCUGAGGUCUGAAUUAGCCUGAUUCUGGGUUCUUUACCGUGCUUCAUUAACUGCAGUGGCCGGGUUAUAAAGUUAUGCACUGUUAGCAUGCUUUGGUUUGGUUUCAUUUUUUUCCAUUGCAAGGGUGAUUUUGACCAUGUAAAGUAAUUUGUAAACUUGCAUCAAGUUUAUGAAUAAAGAAUUUUAUGAAAUA